AGCGAACGCUGGCGGCAGGCCUAACACAUGCAAGUCGAACGAACCUUUCGGGGUUAGUGGCGGACGGGUGAGUAACGCGUGGGAACGUGCCUUUAGGUUCGGAAUAACUCAGGGAAACUUGUGCUAAUACCGAAUGUGCCCUUCGGGGGAAAGAUUAAUCGCCUUUAGAGCGGCCCGCGUCUGAUUAGCUAGUUGGUUGAGGUAAUGGCUCACCAAGGCGACGAUCAGUAGUUGGUCUGAGAGGAUGAUCAGCCACAUUGGGACUGAGACACGGCCCAAACUCCUACGGGAGGCAGCAGUGGGGAAUCUUGCGAAAUGGGCGAAAGCCUGACGCAGCCAUGCCGCGUGAAUGAUGAAGGUCGUAGGAUUGUAAAAUUCUUUCACCGGUGACGAUAAUGACGGUACCCGGAGAAGAAGCCCCGGCUAACUUCGUG
rnacentral:rRNA from 1 species